rnacentral:rRNA from 1 species
UAAAAGCUUACCAAGGCCACGAUCGGUAGCUGGUGUGAGAGGACGAUCAGCCACACUGGGAUUGAGAACGGCCCAGACUACUACGGGGGGCAGCAGUGAGGAAUUUUCGUCAAUGGGGGCAACCCUGAACGAGCAACGCUGCGUGCAGGAUGAAGGUUUUCGGAUCGUAAACUGCUUUUCUUUGGGAAGAGAACGGACGGUACCAGAGGAAGAAGCCCCGGCUAACUACGUGCCAGCAGCCGCGGUAAUACGUAGGGCGCAAGCGUUGUCCGGAAUUAUUGGGCGUAAAGAGCUCGUAGGCGGACUGUUGCGUCUGCUGUGAAAAGAAGGGAUUAACCCUGGCCUUGCAGUGGAUACGGGCAGACUAGAGGUAGGUAGGGGAGAAUGGAAUUCCCGGUGUAGCGGUGAAAUG